CUCCCAGACUAAGAAGUAUGCUGAUGUGAUCAUUCCCAGAGGAGCAGAUAAUGAAGUGGCCAUAAACCUGAUAGUGCAGCACAUCCAGGACAUUCUUAACGGAGGACUCAGCAAACGCCAGAGCAACGGCUACCUGAAUGGCUACACUCCUCCCCGCCAGCGGCAGCCCUCAGAGUCCAGCAGCCGGCCUCACUGACCACGGGCGGCAGGCAUGAGGCUGGGGCGGAGGGCGCUCGGGCCCUGCCACUGCCCCUCUGUACAUACUGUUCAUUCAUUCUGCCCUUAUCUAUUUAAGAAUCCAGACGGAGACGAAUGCCUUUAAUUUUGUAUGUUGGAAAUGCCGAAUGAGAAGCAGCCGGCUGCUUGGGAGCCUGGACCGCCCACAGCUCCUGGCCUUGCUCAAUAACUCCUCCAGCACGGAACCGGCUAUAAAUCUCUAUAAAUAUAGAAUUGCUCUAUUUUUGUGUAAAUGUAGAAUAA